AUUACAUCUGUCAGGAACUUUCUGAUAUAUGUGACGUUGCUCAGAGUCACUCCGUACCUCCUGCAGAAACUGGACAGCAUAUAAAGACACACCCCAUCUUACCCCUUGAAGUUUAGACAGUUUUGAGAAGUUUGAAGACCAGGUGGUAACGGGAAUGUCAUGAAGACAUCAAAACACAGGAAUGCUUAAUUGGAUGUGUCUGACUGAAAAUCAUCUUUAUUUGAAUACACUUCUUUUUUUUUACACUGGU